UUUCCCCUUUUUUUUCACCGGUUCGGUUCGGUGUUCCGGUCCCGAUGCCCACCCCUAGCCAUAGAUGCUUCGAAGUAUUCUGAAUUUUGUUGCAGGAACUAUAUCUUGAACAGUCUGGAUGAUAAUCUUUAUGAUAUUUAUCCAACCUAUAAAAUAGCCAAGGAAUUAUGGGAAUCACUAGAGAAAAAAAAUAUAAAAUCGAAGAUGCUGGUUCUAAGAAGUUUUUCAUUGGCAAAGUUCUGAAAUUUAGUAUGGUGGAUUCCAGGUCUGUCGUCACACAAGUUGAAGAACUCCAUAAGUUAAUCUUUGAACUUCAUGCCGAGGAAUGAUCAAUUAAUGAACAUUUUUAGGCUACGAGUGGAAGAGGAUCAUAAGAAGGGUCACAAAAAUGAUGUGUCUGCCUUAGAAGCCAAUGCCAAUAUCGUUGAGGGAAAAGCCUUCAAACCAAAGGAUCAAUCUAAGAAGAAUAAGGGGAAGAAUUUUAACAAGCAAGAUGUUGCCUUUGCACUAAAGGCAAAGGAUUUCAAGAAGAUUAAGGGCUCUUGCUGGGUUUGUGGAAAACUAGGCCAUAAAGCACAAGAAUAUCGCCACCGAAUGGACCAUAAUCCUACCAAUCAAGGCAACAAUCAUAGGAGAAACAACUAGGCCAAUGUGACUGAGGAUUUUGUUGCUGUUGUUUCAUAAACCAAUAUGGUUUCGAAUGACAAAGAUUGGUGGAUAUUGAUACAGGUGCUACCAAGCAUAUUUAUGGUGACAUAAAUAUGUUUUCUGAUUACCAUCAGAUUUCUGGUGGAGAAAAGCAAUAUAUGGGCAAUGCCUCUGCUUCUGUAAUUCAAGGAAAAGGCAAAGUGGUGCUGAAAUUCACUUCUGGAAACCCUGCAGAAUGUGCUGCAUGUUCCAGAAAUGAGGAAAAAUCUUGUGUCAGGCCCAUUGUUGAGUAACAAGGGCUUUAAACUUGUACUUGCGUUUGACAAGUUUGUCCUAACUAAGGGAGGAACGUUUGCAGGAAAAGGCUACUUGGCUGAUGGUCUUUUCCAACUCAAUGUAUUAACUUUUGAUGCUAUUACUGAAAUAAAUAAGGCUUCUACUUA